UCACAGCCGUCUGGGGACUACAAAAACCUCUGUGACUGAAAACUGCUUCGUCAUCGCCUUCUUGAGUCAGUUCGCUAAUAGCUGCUGAGCAAAAACAAGAAGCUGAACUUCAAGAUAAAUCCUGAAGGAAGGAUUAAAGUGUGGAACGAUGCUGUGACUGAUCAUCUCUGGAGUGCGGCAUAUUAUUAACUGGAUAACCUCCUGUUGUUGCUCCAAUGGGAGGGAGGAGACAGCUUCAAGCUGCCAGUGUCAAGGGCAGAAAGUGUGGACGGUCAACCGUGAUGCAAAACCCUCCCAUCAGACUCUUCCAUAAUGUCUCCUACUGUAUCUACUGUUGCUAGGGCAUUCAUGUUUACAUCUGCUUCACCUAAACUCUGGGUUGUGCUGUACUUGUACUAAUGAUGACUUGUCUGAAAACUCCUGCUUAAGGAAGCUGGACGAUGUCUGACAGCUCACAAGUACACAGCACUCACUCUACAGCAACAUCCUGUCAUAUGUGGUAAAAAUGUGACUUUGUAAGCCCAAUAUUCCGACCUACAAACUGAUUAAAGAAUG